UACUAUACAUGCAGUCGAGCGGACAGAUGGGAGCUUGCUCCCUGAUGUUAGCGGCGGACGGGUGAGUAACACGUGGGUAACCUGCCUGUAAGACUGGGAUAACUCCGGGAAACCGGGGCUAAUACCGGAUGGUUGUUUGAACCGCAUGGUUCAAACAUAAAAGGUGGCUUCUGCUACCACUUACAGAUGGACCCGCGGCGCAUUAGCUAGUUGGUGAGGUAACGGCUCACCAAGGCGACGAUGCGUAGCCCACCUGAGAGGGUGAUCGGCCACACUGGGACUGAGACACGGCCCAGACUCCUACGGGAGGCAGCAGUAGGGAAUCUUCCGCAAUGGACGAAAGUCUGACGGAGCAACGCCCCGUGAGUGAUGAAGGUUUUCGGAUCGUAAAACUCUGUUGUUAGGGAAAAACAAGUACCGUUCGAAUAGGGCGGUACCUUGACGGUACCUAACCAGAAAGCCACGGCUAACUACGUGCCAGCAGCCCCGGUAAUACGUAGGUGGCAAGCGUUGUCCGGAAUUAUUGGGCGUAAAGGGCUCGCAGGCGGUUUCUUAAAUCUGAUGUGAAAGCCCCCGGCUCAACCGGGGAGGGUCAUUGGAAACUGGGGAACUUGAGUGCACAAAAAGAGAGUGGAAUUUCCCAGUGUAUCGGUGAAAUGCGUAGAGAUGUGGAAGAACACCAGUGGCCAAAAGCGGACUC
rnacentral:rRNA from 1 species